rnacentral:rRNA from 1 species
UGCCAGCAGCCGCGGUAAUACGGAGGGGGUUAGCGUUGUUCGGAAUUACUGGGCGUAAAGCGCACGUAGGCGGAUUGGAAAGUUGGGGGUGAAAUCCCGGGGCUCAACCCCGGAACUGCCUCCAAAACUAUCAGUCUAGAGUUCGAGAGAGGUGAGUGGAAUUCCAAGUGUAGAGGUGAAAUUCGUAGAUAUUUGGAGGAACACCAGUGGCGAAGGCAGCUUACUGGACAUUUACUGACGCUCAGACACGAAGGCUAGGGUAGCGAAAGGGAUUAGAUA